CUGGGUGACGAGCGGCGGACGGGUGAGUAAUGUCUGGGAAACUGCCUGAUGGAGGGGGAUAACUACUGGAAACGGUAGCUAAUACCGCAUAACGUCUUCGGACCAAAGAGGGGGACCUUCGGGCCUCUUGCCAUCAGAUGUGCCCAGAUGGGAUUAGCUAGUAGGUGAGGUAAUGGCUCACCUAGGCGACGAUCCCUAGCUGGUCUGAGAGGAUGACCAGCCACACUGGAACUGAGACACGGUCCAGACUCCUACGGGAGGCAGCAGUGGGGAAUAUUGCACAAUGGGCGCAAGCCUGAUGCAGCCAUGCCGCGUGUAUGAAGAAGGCCUUCGGGUUGUAAAGUACUUUCAGCGAGGAGGAAGGCAUUGUGGUUAAUAACCGCAGUGAUUGACGUUACUCGCAGAAGAAGCACCGGCUAACUCCGUGCCAGCAGCCGCGGUAAUACGGAGGGUGCAAGCGUUAAUCGGAAUUACUGGGCGUAAAGCGCACGCAGGCGGUCUGUCAAGUCGGAUGUGAAAUCCCCGGGCUCAACCUGGGAACUGCAUUCGAAACUGGCAGGCUAGAGUCUUGUAGAGGGGGGUAGAAUUCCAGGUGUAGCGGUGAAAUGCGUAGAGAUCUGGAGGAAUACCGGUGGCGAAGGCGGCCCCCUGGACAAAGACUGACG
rnacentral:rRNA from 3 species